rnacentral:tRNA from 1 species
UCCCUUAUAGUUCAAUCAGUAAAGAAUCUGCCUGCAGUGCAGGAGACCCAGGUUCAAUCCCUGGGUUGGGAA